CGGCAAACUGGUGAGUAACACGUGAGUAAUUUACCUCUAUAUUGAGGAUAGCCUUGCGAAAGUAAGGGUAAUACUUAAUGUGUCCCUUGAUACAAAAGUGUCAGGGAGUAAAGGUCUCUGCAAAGAAACCGUAUAGAGAUGAGCUCGCGUCCUAUCAGCUUGUUGGUAGGGUAAUGGCCUACCAAGGCUAUUGACGGGUAGCUGGCCUGAGAGGGUGUUCAGCCACACGGGGACUGAGACACUGCCCCGACUCCUACGGGAGGCUGCAGUCGAGGAUCUUUAGCAAUGGGCGAAAGCCUGACUAUGCGACGCCGCGUGAGGGAUGAAGGUUUUCGGAUCGUAAACCUCUUUCGAUGGGGAAGAAAUCCCCCGUCACGAAUAAUGGCGGGGGACUGACGGUACCUAGAGAAGAAGCCACGGCCAACUCCGUGCCAGCAGCCGCGGUAAUACGGAGGUGGCGAGCGUUACUCGGAUUCAUUGGGUGUAAAGGGCAGGUAGGCGUCCCGACAAGUUAGGAGUGAAAUCCUAAGGCUUAACCUUAGAACUGCUUCUAAAACUGUCGGGAUUGAGGCUAGAAGAGGAGAGUGGAAUUCCCGGUGUAAGGGUGAAAUCUGUAGAUAUCGGGAGGAACGCCAGUGGUGAAAACGGCUCUCUGGUCUAGCCCUGACGCUGAGCUGCGAAAGCUAGGGGAGCAAACAGGAUUAGAUACCCUGGUAGUCCUAGCCGUAAACGAUGAGCACUAGGUGUUGGGAGUUCUACUUUCAGUGCCGUAAGAUAACUCGUUAAGUGCUCCACCUGGGGACUACGACCGCAAGGUUAAAACUCAAAGGAAUAGACGGGGCUCGCACAAGCGGUGAGCAUGUGGUUUAAUUCG
rnacentral:rRNA from 1 species